UACAGAGGGGGCAAGCGUUGUUCGGAAUUACUGGGCGUAAAGGGCGCGUAGGCGGGAUGGCAAGUCGGUCGUGAAAUCCCUCGGCUCAACCGAGGAACGUCGAUCGAUACUGCUGUUCUUGAGGAUUGCAGAGGAGACUGGAAUUCCCGGUGUAGCGGUGAAAUGUGUAGAGAUCGGGAGGAACACCGGUGGCGAAGGCGGGUCUCUGGGCAAUUCCUGACGCUGAGGCGCGAAAGCGUGGGAGCAAACGGG
rnacentral:rRNA from 1 species